CUCAUUUGCUACCAUUUCAUCUCUCAUUCCUUCAUUUCACUCCCUCUCGUCUCUCGGCUCUGUCUCGUUUCUCUUUCUGCAAGUGCAGAGAAGCCGCACCAUACCAACCUCACCGUUCCGGCGAGUACCACCACCAUGAACCUAGGCUAGUCAUGAACCACCGCCUACUGCCAUGAUUACCUCUCCCUCACCCCUCACCUCUAUCUCUCCCCCGUUCUCCUCAUCUCUGUAGUUACGCAGACACUACCAUGACGGAGAAUCGCCAUCUUCUGUCGAAACCAUCAAAACCAGACCAUUAGCCUCGAAGAGAGAUCACCAUCGCCGUCAUCCAGUUAGUUCAAUGCACCCUGGUUCAAGAUGUGGUUGCAUAGUGGCUUUGGCCACUGUUCAUUGUCUCCUCUGGCGAAACUUCAUUUUCCCAACAAAGGAAACAACGAAGGGGAAGUUUCCCAGUUUUUUUACGGAGAUCCAGCAGCUUCGAGCCAUUUCCGCCCAACUCUAGCCACGGCUUAGUACCAUUUAGGAGUAUUUCUCAUGGGACCUGCACGUGGAUAGGAUGCGCGUCAGAUGGAGCGUUGACAACAUAUUGUUCUUUAGAUGGGAAUUCUCAUGGGACCAAAGUGAGACUUCUUGUAAGAAAUUGCCUAUUGUUUAUCCUUAUCAUUGAAUAAAGGUUGUUCGAUACUUUUGAUUAAAAAUAGACUUUUGAGGUC